GUUCCCUAUGAUGUACUAAUUUGACCAUGCUAAUUCUGAUUUUGAUGAAAUUCUUUUUCAGUCGUUUCUGAGGGAACA